rnacentral:rRNA from 1 species
GACGAACGCUUGCGGCGUGCCUAAGAAAUGCAAGUCGAGCGAGGUUUAGGCUUCGGCCGACGACCUAGCGGCGAACGGUCGCGUAACACGUAAGCAACCUGCCCUAAAAGUUGGGGAUAGGCCCGCCCGAAAGGCGGAUUAAUACCGAAUGUGGAUAUGAUUUCGCAUGUGAUUAUAUCUGAAGCAGCGAUGCGCUUUAGGAUGGGCUUGCGGCCUAUCAGUUAGUUGGUGUGGGUAACGGCCUACCAAGACGACGACGGGUAGCUGGUCUGAGAGGAUGGUCAGCCGGAUUGGGACUGAGACACGGCCCAGACUCCUACGGGGGCAGCAAUUAGGAAUCUUGCGCAAUGGGCGAAAGCCUGACGCAGCGACGCCGCGUGACUGAUGAAGUCUUUCGAGAUGUAAAGGUCUUUUGUUGGGGACGAAGGAAGUGACGGUACCCGACGAAUAAGCCCCGGUAACUACGUG